AUUCUUAUCCUUACUUCAAUAGGAUCUUAUAAAGUCUUUCUCAAAUGGGUCACAUUUCUAAUUCUACUGUACUACUAAUAGAUUCUUCAUUGAAGAAAUGUACUAGAAAAUUCUAAAUAUUCAAACAUUUUUUCUAUUUAAUGUUCAAUCAAUAAAUUUAAACAAAAAGCCCUUCAGGGAUACUAAGAGCCUAUACAGGCAUUACCAAAAAAAAAUCUUUAAUUUGUACUAGGCAAAAAUGCAUGACAUAAUUUUACAUGAAAAAGCUAAAGUGAGGUCAGAGGUAUAGCCCAUGUAACAUUUCUUCAAAAGCAUAGGUCAGAAGUUCUUAUGGAUGGAGAGAGACAUCUGUUGCAGUAGUAGACCUGGGGUUCCCUUGAAAAUUGGACUUUUUGUCUGUUACACAACUUAUUUAUGAUAAAAAGGAAUAUAUGCUUGGAUGUUGGAUUUUGGUAAUGGUACAAAAUAAAAGAUAAAUUUAUCUUCACCGCUGGUGAUCUAAUCACCAAUAAAAUCAAAUAUUUAAUACUUGAUAAUUCUUUUAUGACUUGUGUAGUAUGUUUUAUUUCUCAUAGUGUAGUAUGUUUCCAGUGACAACAAGAAAUAAAAGGAAACAGCUAUGCUUAGCUAUGCUAACUGUGCAUUUUUUAAGAUCUCAAAUCAAACACCAAUAACUCAGAAAAGAUUUACCUGAUAUUAAUGAUCAAGCCAACUGCCUAAGUUUUAUUUAAUAAUUUCACUAUUAUCCACUUCUAAAUAUUUACCACAGUUGUAAUUCUCCAUUUUUUAUAAUUGUCUGAUGCCUGACUCC
rnacentral:lncRNA from 1 species